rnacentral:rRNA from 1 species
UACAGAGGGUGCAAGCGUUGCUCGGAAUCAUUGGGCGUAAAGGGUAGGUAGGUGGUCUCGUUUGUCUGGGGUGAAAGCCCAGGGCUUAACCCUGGAAGUGCCCCGGAAACGGCGAGACUAGAGUCCUGGAGAGGGUCGUGGAAUUCCCGGUGUAGCGGUGAAAUGCGUAGAGAUCGGGAGGAACACCAGAGGCGAAGGCGGCGACCUGGACAGGCACUGACACUCAACUACGAAAGCGUGGGGAGCAAACAGG